rnacentral:rRNA from 1 species
CUAAGCCAUGCGAGUCAACAUAGCAAUAUGUGGCAUACGGCUCAGUAACACGUAGUCAACAUGCCCAGGGGACGUGGAUAACCUCGGGAAACUGAGGAUAAACCGCGAUAGGUCAUCACUUCUGGAAUGGGUAUUGACUUAAAUCUAUAUGGCCCCUGGAUUGGACUGCGGCCGAUCAGGCAGUUGGUGAGGUAAUGGCCCACCAAACCUGUAACCGGUACGGGCUCUGAGAGGAGGAGCCCGGAGAUGGGCACUGAGACAAGGGCCUAGGCCCUAUGGGGCGCAGCAGGCGCGAAACCUCUGCAAUAGGCGAAAGCCUGACAGGGUUACUCUGAGUGAUUCCCGCUAAGGGAAUCUUUUGGCAUCUCUAAAAAUGGUGCAGAAUAAGGGGUGGGCAAGUCUGGUGUCAGCCGCCGCGGUAUUACCAGCACCCCGAGUGGUCGGGACGAUUAUUGGCCCUAAAGCAUCCGUAGCCGGUCUUGCAAGUCUUCCGUUAAAUCCAGCUGCUUAACAGAUGGGCUGCGGAGGAUACUACAAGGCUAGGAGGCGGGAGAGGCAAGCGGUACUCAGUGGGUAGGGGUAAAAUCCUCUGAUCCAUUGAAGACCACCAGUGGCGAAGGCGGCUUGCCAGAACGCGCUCGACGGUGAGGGAUGAAAGCUGGGGGAGCAAACCGGAUUAGAUACCCGGGUAGUCCCAGCUGUAAACGAUGCAGACUCGGUGAUGGGCC